rnacentral:rRNA from 1 species
GACGUAGGGCGCGAGCGUUGUCCGGAUUUAUUGGGCGUAAAGAGCUCGUAGGCGGCUUGUCGCGUCGACUGUGAAAACCCGUGGCUCAACCACGUGGUCUGCAGUCGAUACGGGCAGGCUAGAAUUCGGUAGGGGAGACUGGAAUUCCUGGUGUAGCGGUGAAAUGCGCAGAUAUCAGGAGGAACACCGGUGGCGAAGGCGGGUCUCUGGGCCGAUAUUGACGCUGAGGAGCGAAAGCGUGGGGAGCGAACAGG